rnacentral:rRNA from 1 species
GAAGGCCAGUCCGCGUCGGGUUAGUCGGGCCUAAGCCGAGGCUGAGAAGCGUAGGUGAUGGACAACCGGUUAAUAUUCCGGUACCGAGAAGUGGGAGUGCAGUGAGAGCGUCCCGGGAAGGCUCAGCCCCUGAGUGGAUGGGGGUGGUAAGCGGUUAACGACCGUGAUGCCGGGCAGCAAUGCCAGAAGUGAGAUGGACCUGGGGCCAAGAAAAGCUUGCUGGACGAUGAACAUUUUUCGCCCGUACCACAAACCGACACAGGUAGACGAGUAGAGGAUACUAAGGCGAGCGGGAGAACUCGGGUUAAGGAACUCGGCAAAAUAGUCCUGUAACUUCGGGAGAAGGGACGCCCCUGAGAGGGGGCCGCAGUGAAAGGGCUCUAUCGACUGUUUACCAAAAACACAGGUCUCUGCAAACGCGCAAGCGGACGUAUAGGGGCUGACGCCUGCCCAGUGCCGGAAGGUUAAGAGGAGGGGUUCACGCUCCGAAUUGAAGCCCCGGUGAACGGCGGCCGUAACUAUAACGUCCUAAGGUAGCGAAAUUCCUUGUCGGGUAAGAUCCGACCCGCACGAAAGGCGUAACGAGUGGAGCGCUGUCUCAACCCGAGACCCGGCGAAAUUGAAGUACGUGUGAAGAUGCGCGUUACCCGCAGCAGGACAAAAAGACCCCAUGGAGCUUUACUGUAGCUUGCCAUUGCGUUAGGGUUGCACUUGUGUAGGAUAGCUGGGAGGCAGAGAAGCCUGGGCGCUAGCUUGGGUGGAGCCGCCGGUGAAAUACCAGCCUGGUGUGACUUUGGCCCUAACUUGAGGAAACUUGAGGACAGUGGCAGGUGGGCAGUUUGACUGGGGCGGUCGCCUCCUAAAAGGUAACGGAGGCGUUCAAAGGUGGGUUCAGGCUGAAUGGAAACCAGCCAGAGAGUGCAAAGGCAUAAACCCGCUUGACUGCAAGGCCAACGCGCCGAGCAGAGACGAAAGUCGGACUUAGUGAUCCUACGGCUCAGAGUGGAAUGCCCGUAGCCUACCGGAUAAAAGCUACCCUGGGGAUAACAGGCUAGUCUUGCCCAAAAGUUCACAUCGACGGCAAGGCUCGGCACCUCGAUGUCGGCCCAUCACGUCCCGGGGCUGGAUAAGGUCCCAAGGGUUGGGCUGUUCGCCCAUUAAAGUGGUACGUGAGCUGGGUUCAGACCGUCGUGAGACAGGUCGGUCUCUAUCCGCUGUGGGCGUUGGGAGUUUGAGAGGAUCUGCCCCUAGUACGAGAGGACCGGGGUGGACGGAGCGCUCGUGCGUCGGUUGUCGCGCCAGCGGCAUGGCCGAGUAGCGAUCUCCGGAGCGGAUAACCGCUGAAAGCAUCUAAGUGGGAAACCGACCUCAAGAUGAGACUCCCCAUGGCGAAAGCCAGUAAGACCUCGAAGACGACGAGCUUGAUAGGCCGGAGGUGGAGGCGCAGUAAUGUGUGGAGCUGACCGGUACUAAUGGUCGAGGGCU